UACUCACAGCCUUCAAGAUGAAAUCACUAC
rnacentral:piRNA from 1 species